rnacentral:rRNA from 1 species
UACGUAGGGUGCAAGCGUUGUCCGGAAUUAUUGGGCGUAAAGAGCUCGUAGGCGGUUUGUCGCGUCUGCUGUGAAGACUCGGGGCUUAACCCCGGGCCUGCAGUGGGUACGGGCAGACUAGAGUGCGGUAGGGGAGAAUGGAAUUCCCGGUGUAGCGGUGAAAUGCGCAGAUAUCGGGAGGAACACCGGUGGCGAAGGCGGUUCUCUGGGCCUUACCUGACGCUGAGGAGCGAAAGCGUGGGGAGCGAACAGG